rnacentral:tRNA from 2 species
GGGCCGGUAACUCAGUGGUAGAGUGUAGGACUGCAGUUCCCGAAGCCACCGGUUCGACUCCGGUUCGGCCCU